AAGUCAGCCAAUCUGCUUAUCUGAAUGUGCUUCUGCAGAAAUUUAGAAACAGCUGGCAAUAGUGAUGUUAUUUUAUGGGACUUAAGGACAACUGAGAUCAUUACUGUCCCUCAAAAUGGCUACAAUA